rnacentral:misc_RNA from 1 species
UCAAAUAAUGUAAAAAAUAAAAUAGAUAUUGACAUGGAUUGAACAAAAGAUAUAUAUUAUUUUAUGUUGCAUAAACAAAUUGGCAAAAUAGAGAUGGAAGAUAAAAAUAUGGUCAAAGUAAUAAGAGUCUAUGGUGAAUGCCUAGGAGCUUUAAGGCGAAGAAGGUCGUGGUAAGCUGCGAAAAGCUUGGGGGAGAAGCAAACAUUUAUUGAUCCCAAGAUUACCGAAUGGAGUAAUCCAACUAGUAAGAUGCUAGUUAUCUAUUAUCUAAAUAAUAGAGGCGAUACC